rnacentral:rRNA from 1 species
UGGGGAAUAUUGCACAAUGGAGGGAACUCUGAUGCAGCGACGCCGCGUGAACGAAGAAGGCUUUCGAGUCGUAAAGUUCUUUUAUAUGGGAAGAUAAUGACGGUACCAUAAGAAAAAGCCCCGGCUAACUACGUGCCAGCAGCCGCGGUAAUACGUAGGGGGCUAGCGUUGUCCGGAAUCACUGGGCGUAAAGGGUUCGCAGGCGGAAAUGCAAGUCAGGUGUAAAAGGCAGUAGCUUAACUACUGUAAGCAUUUGAAACUGCAUAUCUUGAGAAGAGUAGAGGUAAGUGGAAUUUUUAGUGUAGCGGUGAAAUGCGUAGAUAUUAAAAAGAAUACCGGUGGCGAAGGCGACUUACUGGGCCCAUUCUGACGCUGAGGAACGAAAGCGUGGGUAGCAAACAGG